rnacentral:rRNA from 1 species
UACAGAGGCCUCGAGCGUUAGGCGGAAUCACUGGGCUUAAAGCGUGUGUAGGCGGAUUGGUAAGUACCUUGUGAAAUCCCACAGCUUAACUGUGGAACUGCUCGGUAUACUGCUGAUCUUGAGCCACUCAGGGGCUACCGGAACAAAUGGUGGGAGCGGUGAAAUGCGUAGAUAUCAUUGGAACGCCAAUGGUGAAAACAGGUAGCUGGGGGUGUGCUGACGCUGAGACACGAAAGCCAGGGGAGCAAACGGG